rnacentral:rRNA from 1 species
AUGACCAGAGACAACCUCUCUAAAAGAGGCCUUGAAAAAUCUCAUGAAUAUGUCUACUGCUCUGAGAAAGAGUCUAUACAACACCUCUUUUUUGAAUGUGUGGUUGCUAAGCAAAUAUGGAAAUCUGUUUCAGACUUCUUCUCCUGCUCUUUGGGGGCUGAUUACCUUUCCAUUGCUAGAUUUUGGAUAGCCAAUAGGAAACACACUGCUCUAAAUGCUAUUUGUGCUGGUGUCCUAUGGGCUAUCUGGAAACAUAGAAACUCCUCCAUUUUUAGAAAUGUAAUGUGGAUUGAUUUGAAACAGAUCUGGAACUUGAUGAUGGGGCUCUUGAGGAGAUGGCUGAUUCUUCUCAAGGACGCUGCUCGUGCGAAGAUGGAGGAAUUCAUGACCAGGGUUACCCUGAUCCUGAAUACCCCCUUCCAGAUCACAGUGGGGUAG